AUUGAACGCUGGCGGCAGGCCUAACACAUGCAAGUCGAGCGGUAGAAGGGAGCUUGGUCCUGGAUUCAGCGGAAGACGGGUGUGUAAUGCCUAGAAAUCUGCCUGGGAGGGGGGGAUAAAGUCGGGAAACGGGCGCUAAUACCGCAUGCGUCCUGGAGGAGAAAGGGGGGGAUCUUCGGACCUCACGCUAUCAGAUGAGCCUAGGUCGGAUUAGCUAGUUGGUGGGGUAAAGGCCUACCAAGGCGACGAUCCGUAACUGGUCUGAGAGGAUGAUCAGUCACACUGGAACUGAGACACGGCCCAGACUCCUACGGGAGUCAGCAGUGGGGAAUAUUGGACAAUGGGCGAAAGCCUGAUCCAGCAAUGCCGCGUGUGUGAAGAAGGUCUUCGGAUUGUAAAGCACUUUAAGUUGGGAGGAAGGGCAGUAAGUUAAUACCUUGCUGUAUUGACGUUACCAAAAGAAUAAGCACCGGCUAACUUCGUG
rnacentral:rRNA from 1 species